AACCAGGUGGAGGCCUUCGGGGUUCGGCAAGAGCAGUUCUGUGAGCUGGCGGAGCCUGGCGUCUGCCUGCGUGACGUGGAGGAACCGCAGGCGGCGACCGCGGACAGAAUGUACAGCCAUGUAAGACAUGCCUGUGCCUGCUUCCCCUUUGCCUUCUGCCAUGACUGAAAGUUUCCUAAGGCCUCCUCAGAAGCCGAGCAGAUGCCAGCAUCAUGCUUCCUCUAAAGCCUGUGGAACCAUGAGCCAAUUCUCCAGAGGAAUGCUUUCGACUUUCCCCCAUUCAGUAUGAUGUUGCAUAUGGGUUUGUCAUAUAUGGCUUUUACUACUUUCAGGAUUUUUCAUGGGCCGAUCUGCUGAAUUCAGCCUAGGAGCUGAGACCAACAUCUGAGUCUCUUCAGCACACAAGUUUGAAAGAAGUCCUAGCAACUUCAAGCUCAGAACUACGGGUGGCAGCAGCUCCCUCUUGACGUCGAAGCCUCCCAUUCCAGAGAGAGUCAAGGCCUGGAUCAAACAAAGCCCACAAGCACCGAUGACUGAGCUGCUGACUACCCCCAGCAUCUCCAACUCAACCUCCUCUUUCUGCCUCUACCCAAAUUUUAAAACUUUCAAACAUGGGUUUAAAAAUGGUAAUGAGUAAAGUUGCAUCCAAGUGUAUCAAAUAAAACUAAAUAUCCA
rnacentral:lncRNA from 1 species